rnacentral:rRNA from 1 species
UACAGAGGGUGCGAGCGUUAAUCGGAAUUACUGGGUGUAAAGCGUGCGUAGACGGUUAUUUAAGUCGGGUGUGAAAUCCCCGGGCUCAACCUGGGAAUUGCAUUCGAGACUGAAUAGCUAGGGUACGGUAGAGGGAAGCGGAAUUUCCGGUGUAGCGGUGAAAUGCGUAGAUAUCGGAAGGAACAUCAGUGGCGAAAGCGGCUUCCUGGACCAGUACCGACGUUCAGGCACGAAAGCGUGGGGAGCAAACAGG